GAUGAACGCUGGCGGCGUGCCUAAUACAUGCAAGUCGAGCGAACAGACGAGGAGCUUGCUCCUCUGACGUUAGCGGCGGACGGGUGAGUAACACGUGGAUAACCUACCUAUAAGACUGGGAUAACUUCGGGAAACCGGAGCUAAUACCGGAUAACAUGUUGAACCGCAUGGUUCAACAGUGAAAGACGGUCUUGCUGUCACUUAUAGAUGGAUCCGCGCCGCAUUAGCUAGUUGGUAAGGUAACGGCUUACCAAGGCAACGAUGCGUAGCCGACCUGAGAGGGUGAUCGGCCACACUGGAACUGAGACACGGUCCAGACUCCUACGGGAGGCAGCAGUAGGGAAUCUUCCGCAAUGGGCGAAAGCCUAACGGAGCAACGCCGCGUGAGUGAAGAAGGUCUUCGGAUCGUAAAACUCUGUUAUUAGGGAAGAACAAAUGUGUAAGUAACUAUGCACGUCUUGACGGUACCUAAUCAGAAAGCCACGGCUAACUACGUG
rnacentral:rRNA from 1 species